UUAAUUUGAGAGUUUGAUCCUGGCUCAGGACGAACGCUGGCGGCGUGCCUAAUACAUGCAAGUCGAACGAACUCUGGUAUUGAUUGGUGCUUGCAUCAUG
rnacentral:rRNA from 2 species